GCUUCUGUAGCUCAGUAGGUUAGAGCGCCGUGCUAAUAACGCGGAGGGCGAAGGUUCGAUCCCUUCCAGAAGUA
rfam:Edhazardia aedis TSNM 41457 supercont1.71, whole genome shotgun sequence.